rnacentral:rRNA from 1 species
GGAGCCUGAGAAACGGCUACCAUAUCCAAGGAUGGCAGCAGGCGCGCAAAUUACCCAAUCCCGACACGGGGAGGUAGUGACAAUAAAUAACAAUACGGGGUUCUUUAGGAUCUCGUAAUUGGAAUGAGUACAAUUUAAAUCUCUUAACGAGGAACAAUUGGAGGGCAAGUCUGGUGCCAGCAGCCGCGGUAAUUCCAGCUCCAAUAGCGUAUANNNAAGUUGUUGCAGUUAAAAAGCUCGUAGUUGAAUUCCGGGGUUAGUAGGUUGGUCAUGCCUCUGGUAUGUACUGGUCUCACUGAUUCCUCCUUCCUUAUGAACCGUAAUGCCAUUAAUUUGGUGUUGCGGGAAUUUGGACUGUUACUUUGAAAAAAUUAGAGUGUUUAAAGCAAGCUAACGCUUGAAUACAUUAGCAUGGAAUAAUGAAAUAGGACGUUCGAUCUUAUUUUGUUGGUUUCUAGGAUUGACGUAAUGAUUAAUAGGGAUAGUUGGGGGCAUUAGUAUUCAAUUGUCAGAGGUGAAAUUCUUGGAUUUAUUGAAGACUAACUACUGCGAAAGCAUUUGCCAAGGAUGUUUUCAUUAAUCAAGAACGAAAGUUAGGGGAUCGAAGACGAUCAGAUACCGUCGUAGUCUUAACCAUAAACUAUGCCGACUAGGGAUCGGAUGAUGUUAAUUUUUUAAUGACUCAUUCGGCGCCUUACG